rnacentral:rRNA from 1 species
UACGGGGGGGGCAAGCGUUGUGCGGAAUUACUGGGCGUAAAGGGCUCGUAGGUGGCCAACUAAGUCGGACGUGAAAUCCCUCAGCUUAACUGGGGAACUGCGUCCGAUACUGGAUGGCUCGAGUUUGGGAGAGGGAUGCGGAAUUCCAGGUGUAGCGGUGAAAUGCGUAGAUAUCGUGAGGAAGACCAGUGGCGAAGGCGGGUCUCUGGACAGUUCCUGACGCUGAGGCGCGAAGGCCAGGGGAGCAAACGGG